GAUGAACGCUGGCGGCGUGCCUAAUACAUGCAAGUCGAGCGAACGGACGAGAAGCUUGCUUCUCUGAUGUUAGCGGCGGACGGGUGAGUAACACGUGGAUAACCUACCUAUAAGACUGGGAUAACUUCGGGAAACCGUAGCUAAUACCGGAUAAUAUUUUGAACCGAAUGGUUCAAAAGUGAAAGACGGUCUUGCUGUCACUUAUAGAUGGAUCCGCGCUGCACUAGCUAGUUGGUAAGGUAACGGCUUACCAAGGCAACGAUGCAUAGCCGACCUGAGAGGGUGAUCGGCCACACUGGAACUGAGACACGGUCCAGACUCCUACGGGAGGCAGCAGUAGGGAAUCUUCCGCAAUGGGCGAAAGCCUGACGGAGCAACGCCGCGUGAGUGAUGAAGGUCUUCGGAUCGUAAAACUCUGUUAUUAGGGAAGAACAUAUGUGUAAGUAACUGUGCACAUCUUGACGGUACCUAAUCAGAAAGCCACGGCUAACUACGUG
rnacentral:rRNA from 1 species